rnacentral:lncRNA from 1 species
GCCCCAGAAUUCACAAGCAGGACUUCGGUUUCUCUAUGGAAAAUGUUCUGCCUUCCUGUGACUGUGUGUUCCAGAGCUCUAUGUCAAAAUUUAAAAAUGUGAAGAGGAAGAUAAAAGCUAGAACUCAGUGACUGAGCUCGAUCACCAGCCGCUGCAGAGGGGAGAGGAAGGACAAGCUUAGAGUCAUGGAGCCUUAGUGAAGAAGGCCAGGAGAAUCAACUCAGGCGUCUGGAAAAAGCAAGAGACACAGAGAAAAGGGGGUUGUCACACAUUCCUGCUAUUAGUCCCAGCACUGUGGCUUGGGGCUAUGGGUGGAGGCAGGCCGAUCUCUGCGAGUUCAAGGCCAGCCUGGGUUACAUAGUUCCAGCUACAUAGACUUUGGAAAAUGCUUUUAUCCUUUGCCACUCCAGCUUUCCUGUCAGGUGACUCUUUCCACCAGAUCUUUUGAUACAGAAGCAGGGGGACACCACCACUGCCCCUGCUGCAAACUGUCUUUCUUAAAUCGUAGGCUAUGUGAUAACUUUGGGAUAGACUCACAUUCUGUGAGUCUAUCCCAAAUGUGAUAUCUUUGGG